GAGAUGAACGAAGUGUUUAAGGAAGGAUGCUUUUUAUUGUCGUUUGGGCUGCAAAAUAUGAUGUCUCCUGGAUGUGCAACUUGGCUUGACCUCGCUCCAAAGAAAAGCAUCCUGUUAGCAAUUUCGACAAACUUGAACACUUAGAAUACACUCCAGCUGUUUUUCUUGGUCUAAUGGCUGAAUUAGAUGGUACAGCUAUUGUCUACAAUCAUCGCAUGCAACAUGCCUAAGUCAUCUUCACAGCUUGUCUACAACCCAUAGGGCUAUUGUAUAAUUAUUUGGGAUCUGUAGCCUUGUUGUAGGUGACUUGGGUAUAUUGUAUAWGAUAGUUGGAUGCAAAAGUUGUGCCAUCUUAUUUGGCCUUAAGAAUGCUGCUUGGCCUGGUGUUGCAACCGAAGUGCCAAGCCAUCCCCAUGCUGAGUAAUGACAUGCAAAAUGAUUUGAACUACAAAACAUGAUGAUUGAGUCGUGGCUUUGGUAGGUAGUGCUAUAAUUGUUAUUGUCUUCAGGGCAUCACUUUUUCACUACAUACAAGUAAGACUUGAGGCAGAAAAUAAGCACAGAACUGUACAUUAUAUAUCUUGCAUACAUUACAGUGUUGGUAGGUUCUGGUCAAACUUGUUCAUCAUCUGAAGGAAAUGAUAUUAUGCUAUUGUAACUGUGUUGGUAUCAUAGUAUCUCCUCAUACAGCUAUUGGCUCCUAGUGAUUCUUUUUUUUAGAAGUGGAACAGACUAUUAAGUAGACUUGAACAUCUCACAACGUUAGCACAUUUCCACACAUAGUAUCAACAUAUUUUG